AUUGAACGCUGGCAGCAGGCGUAACACAUGCAAGUCGAACGAGUGGCGGACGGGUGAGUAAUGCUUGGGAAUCUAGCUUAUGGAGGGGGAUAACUACGGGAAACUGUAGCUAAUACCGCGUACCAUAGGAUGAGCCCCAGUGGGAUUAGGUAGUUGGUGAGGUAAAGGCUCACAAAGCCGACGAUCUCUAGCUGGUCUGAGAGGAUGACCAGCCACACUGGGACUGAGACACGGCCCAGACUCCUACGGGAGGAAGCAGUGGGGAAUAUUGCGCAAUGGGGGCAACCUGACUCAGCAAGGCCGCGUGAAGGAAGAAGGCUUUCGGGUUGUAAAGUUCUUUUGGUAGCGAGGCGUUAACUACAGAAGAAGCACCGGCUAACUCCGUGCCAGCCGCCGCGGUAAUAC
rnacentral:rRNA from 1 species